CGAGGGCUCCGCUUCGGUGGGACCCUAGUGGCGCACGGGUGAGUAACGCGUGGGAACCUGCCCUGUGGUACGGAAUAACUCCGGGAAACUGGAGCUAAUACCGGAUGUGUCUUGAGGGACAAAGAUUUAUCGCCAUGGGAUGGGCCCGCGUAGGAUUAGCUUGUUGGUGGGGUAACGGCCUACCAAGGCUUCGAUCCUUAGCUGGUCUGAGAGGAUGAUCAGCCACACUGGGACUGAGACACGGCCCAGACUCCUACGGGAGGCAGCAGUGGGGAAUAUUGGACAAUGGGCGCAAGCCUGAUCCAGCAAUGCCGCGUGAGUGAUGAAGGCCUUCGGGUUGUAAAGCUCUUUCGCACGCGACGAUGAUGACGGUAGCGUGAGAAGAAGCCCCGGCUAACUUCGUGCCAGCAGCCGCGGUAAUACAAAGGGGGCUAGCGUUGUUCGGAAUUACUGGGCGUAAAGGGCGCGUAGGCGGUACUUCAAGUCAGGCGUGAAAGCCCCGGGCUCAACCUGGGAACCGCGCUUGAGACUGGAGAACUAGAGUUCGGGAGAGGAUGGUGGAAUUCCCAGUGUAGAGGUGAAAUUCGUAGAUAUU
rnacentral:rRNA from 1 species